CCUGGUGGGAGCUUUCCCCUUUUGAGUCCCUGGCUCCAUUGAGAUAAAAAGAUCAGCAAAAGAACACCAGCCAAGAGGAUCAAAGUGGAAGCUUGCUGUUAAGCAGUUACCAUCCUGCAUCCUGCCUCUGUGGAUGAAUACUUAAACAAGAACUACCUAUUCUUCAAAAGUGUGACUGGUUUGCCUUUUCCAUUGUUAGAGUCAGUUCCUUUGCUGAUAUAAUCACAGGACUCUUGAUGUGUACAAUAAUAAUAUUAAUAAUAAUAAAGUUUGACACUUUCUA